CGAAACGGAGGUGACCUACCCAUGGCCAGGUUGAAGCUUAGGUGAUACUAAGUGGAGGACCGAACCGGUGUGUGUUGAAAAACGCUCGGAUGAGCUGUGGGUCGGAGUGAAAGGCUAAUCAAACCCCGUGAUAGCUGGUUCUCCUCGAAAUGCAUUUAGGUGCAGCGUUGCGUGUUGAUGAGUGGGGGUAGAGCACUGACAGGGCUAGGGGGCAUACCCGCCUACCAACCCCUAUCAAACUCCGAAUACCAUUCAAUAGAGCGCAGCAGUGAGACGGCGGGGGAUAAGCUUCGUCGUCGAGAGGGAAACAGCCCAGAUCAGCAGCUAAGGUGCCUAAAUUGUGCUCAGUGGAAAGGAGGUGAGGUUUCAUAGACAGUGAGGAUGUUGGCUUAGAAGCAGCCACCAUUUAAAAAAUGCGUAAUAGCUUACUCAUCGAGAGACCUUGCGCCGAAAAUACUUGGCGAUAAGCACAAUACCGAAGCUCUGGGUGUCCUAGUUUACUAGGGCGCGGUAGAGGAGCAUUCUCUGUGCAGUGAAGGGUGAUGGCGACUGACCCUGGAGCGCAGAGAAGUGAGAAUGCAGACAUGAGUAACGAUAAGAGCGGUGAAAUCCCGCUCCGCCGUAAAUCCAAGGUUUCCCGGGCAACGUUUUUCGUCCCGGGGUUAGUCGGGACCUAACCCGAGGCCGAUGGGCGUAGGGGAUGGUAAGCAGGUUAAUAUUCCUGCACCCAGUAAGGAGGACGCAUAAUGAAAAGCUACUAGGUUAUUGAAUUCCGAGGCGAGGCUUAGGCCGGACCGUAUAGCUGGACAGAGUGCCAAGAAAAGCCCUUACAUUAAUGGCCCGUACCGUAAACCGACACAGGUGGAUGGGUAGAAUAUACCAAGGCGCAAGAGUGAAACCUGGUCAAGGAACUCGGCAAAAUAGCCCCGUAACUUCGGAAGAAGGGGUGCCCCCUCUGGGGGGCCGCAGUGAAAUGGCCCAACCGACUGUUUAGCAAAAACACAGCAUUGUGCUAAGGCGUAAGCCGACGUAUACGAUGUGACACGUGACCAAUGCCAAAAGAUUACGGUAAGAUGUUAGCACUUUAGUGCGAAGCUUCGAGCCCAAGUCCUGGUGAAUGUCGGCCGUAACUAUAACGGUCCUAAGGUAGCGAAAUUCCUUGUCGGGUAAGUUCCGACCUGCACGAAUCGUGCAACGAGUUGGGCGCUGUCUCGACCAGGUGCUCAGUGAAAUUGUAGUUCCGGUGAAGAUGCCGGACACCCGCAGAAGGACGGAAAGACCCUAUAGACCUUAACUGUAAGCUGUUAUUGGUUGUUCGAUCUUAAUGCUCAGCAUAAGUGGGAGACAUUGAAGGGUGCGUUUAGGCGCAUCUGGAGUCAUCAGUGAGAUACCACCCUUUAAUAUUGGAUAAUCUAACCCCGAGCCGUCAUCCGGCCGUGGGGACAAUGGCAGCCGGUCAGUUUUACUGGGGCGGUAUCCUCCUAAAGAGUAACGGAGGAGCGCGAAGGUGGGCUCAGCACAGUUGGCAACUGUGUGUUGAGUGUAAAGGCACAAGCCCGCCUAACUGUGAGACCUACAAGUCGAGCAGAUACGAAAGUAGGCCUUAGUGAUCCGGCGGUAGAAUGUGGAAUUGCCGUCGCUCAACGGAUAAAAGGUACCUUAGGGAUAACAGGCUUAUCACGCCCAAGAGUUCAUAUCGACGGCGUGGUUUGGCACCUCGAUGUCGGCUCGUCGCAUCCUGGGGCUGGAGAAGGUCCCAAGGGUCCGGCUGUUCGCCGGUUAAAGCGGCACGCGAGCUGGGUUCAGAACGUCGCGAGACAGUUCGGUCCUCUAUCCUCUGUGGGCGUAGGAAAAUUGAAGGGUUCAGACCUUAGUACGAGAGGACCGGGUUUGACGCACCUCUGGUGUUCCAGUUGUUCUGUCAAGGGCACUGCUGGGUAGCUAAGUGCGGAACGGAUAAGCGCUGAAAGCAUCUAAGCGCCAAGCCAUUCCUGAGAUAAAUUUUCCCUGAAGGAUCGUGGAAGACGACCACGUUGAUAGGCUGGGGGUAGAAGUGCAGCAAUGUAUGUAGCUCACCAGUACUAAUCAUCCGUUCGACUUAAUUCC
rnacentral:rRNA from 1 species